rnacentral:rRNA from 1 species
GAUGAACGCUGGCGGCGUGCUUAACACAUGCAAGUCGAACGGACUUUAAAUGAAGCCUAGCGAUUUUAAAGUUAGUGGCGGACGGGUGAGUAACGCGUGGGUAACCUGCCGUAUACAGGGGGAUAACACUUAGAAAUAGGUGCUAAUACCGCAUAAGCGCACAGCCUUGCAUGAAGCAGUGUGAAAAACUCCGGUGGUAUACGAUGGACCCGCGUCUGAUUAGCUAGUUGGUGAGGUAACGGCCCACCAAGGCGACGAUCAGUAGCCGGCCUGAGAGGGUGAACGGCCACAUUGGGACUGAGACACGGCCCAAACUCCUACGGGAGGCAGCGGUGGGGAAUAUUGCACAAUGGGGGAAACCCUGAUGCAGCGACGCCGCGUGAGUGAAGAAGUAUUUCGGUAUGUAAAGCUCUAUCAGCAGGGAAGAAAAUGACGGUACCUGACUAAGAAGCUCCGGCUAAAUACGUGCCAGCAGCCGCCGUAAGAC